CCUACGGGCGGCAGCAGUGAGGAAUAUUGGUCAAUGGGCGGGAGCCUGAACCAGCCAAGUCGCGUGAGGGAAGACGGUCCUAUGGAUCGUAAACCUCUUUAGGCGGGGAGCAAUGCCGGGCACGCGUGCCCGUAGGGAGAGUACCCGCAGAAUAAGCAUCGGCUAACUCCGUGCCAGCAGCCGCGGUAAUACGGAGGAUGCGAGCGUUAUCCGGAUUUAUUGGGUUUAAAGGGUGCGUAGGCGGAUUUUCAAGUCAGCGGUAAAAUGUCCGGGCUCAACCCGGGCCGGCGGUUGAAACUGGGGAUCUUGAGUGGGCGAGAAGCAUGCGGAAUGCGUGGUGUAGCGGUGAAAUGCAUAGAUAUCACGCAGAACUCCGAUUGCGAAGGCAGCAUACCGGCGCCCGACUGACGCUGAGGCACGAAAGCGUGGGGAUCGAACAGGAUUAGAUACCCCAGUAGUC
rnacentral:rRNA from 1 species